rnacentral:tRNA from 2 species
GGGCGAUUAGCUCAGCUGGGAGAGCUCCUGCCUUACAAGCAGGAUGUCGGCGGUUCGAUCCCGUCAUCGCCCA